GAAAACAAAUAAAAGAAGAUGCCUAACGGACAACUUGAAGUUUAUGUUGGACAUGCAAGAGGCCUUGAUGACCAAAAUUGGCUCACUGAUAUGAAUCCUUAUGUGGUCGUUACAUGCCGUACUGAAGAGAAGAAAUCCAGUACCGCAUCAGGUGAAGGAGAGGACCCUGAGUGGAAUGAGUCCUUCUUAUUCACUGUUUCUCGUGGUUGUGACGAAGUUCACAUCAAGAUUAUGGAUGAAAAUACAUU